UACGUAGGGUGCAAGCGUUGUUCGGAAUUACUGGGCGUAAAGGGCUCGUAGGCGGCCAACUAAGUCGGAUGUGAAAUCCCCAGGCUUAACCUGGGAACUGCAUCCGAUACUGGAUGGCUUGAAUCCGGGAGAGGGAUGCGGAAUUCCAGGUGUAGCGGUGAAAUGCGUAGAUAUCAGGAGGAACACCGGUGGCGAAGGCGGAUCUCUGGGCCGUAACUGACGCUGAGGAGCGAAAGCAUGGGUAGCGAACAGG
rnacentral:rRNA from 1 species